rnacentral:rRNA from 1 species
GACGAACGCUGGCGGCGUGCUUAACACAUGCAAGUCGAGCGAGCGGCGAACGGGUGAGUAACGCGUGGUAACCUGCCCCCCUCCCUGGGAUAACUACUGGAAACGGUAGCUAAUACCGCAUACCGUCGGCUGUGCCCAGAUGGGAUUAGUUAGUAGGUGGGGUAACGGCCCACCUCGGCGACGAUCCCUAGCUGGUCUGCAAGGAUGACCAGCCACACUGGACCUGAGAAACGGUCCAAACUCCUACGGGAGGCAGCAGUGGGGAAUAUUGCACAAUGGGCGAAAGCCUGAUGCAGCCAGGCGGCGUGUAUGAAGAAGGCCUUCGGGUUUUAAAGUAGGUUCAGCGAGGAGGCGUUACUCGCAGAGGAAGCACCGGCUAACUCCGUGCCAGCAGCCGCGGUAAUUC